UACGGUGAAUACGUUCCCGGACCUUGUACACACCGCCCGUCAAGCCAUGGAAGGCCGGGUGUACCUAAAGUCGGUAACCGCAAGGAGCCGCCUAGGGUAAAACUGGUGACUGGGGCU
rnacentral:rRNA from 1 species